UUUGCUCUCGGGUGACGAGCGGGGGACGGGUGAGUAAUGUCUGGGAAACUGCCUGAUGGAGGGGGAUAACUACUGGAAACGGUAGCUAAUACCGCAUAACGUCGCAAGACCAAAGAGGGGGACCUUCGGGCCUCUUGCCAUCAGAUGUGCCCAGAUGGGAUUAGCUAGUAGGUGGGGUAACGGCUCACCUAGGCGACGAUCCCUAGCUGGUCUGAGAGGAUGACCAGCCACACUGGAACUGAGACACGGUCCAGACUCCUACGGGAGGCAGCAGUGGGGAAUAUUGCACAAUGGGCGCAAGCCUGAUGCAGCCAUGCCGCGUGUAUGAAGAAGGCCUUCGGGUUGUAAAGUACUUUCAGCGAGGAGGAAGGCAUUGAGGUUAAUAACCUUAGUGAUUGACGUUACUCGCAGAAGAAGCACCGGCUAACUCCGUGCCAGCAGCCGCGGUAAUACGGAGGGUGCAAGCGUUAAUCGGAAUUACUGGGCGUAAAGCGCACGCAGGCGGUCUGUCAAGUCGGAUGUGAAAUCCCCGGGCUCAACCUGGGAACUGCAUUCGAAACUGGCAGGCUAGAGUCUUGUAGAGGGGGGUAGAAUUCCAGGUGUAGCGGUGAAAUGCGUAGAGAUCUGGAGGAAUACCGGUGGCGAAGGCGGCCCCCCUGGA
rnacentral:rRNA from 1 species